AUACGUAGGGAGCGAGCGUUGUCCGGAAUUACUGGGUGUAAAGGGAGCGUAGGCGGGAGUGCAAGUCAGAUGUGAAAUACAUGGGCUCAACCCAUGGGCUGCAUUUGAAACUGAAUUUCUUGAGUGAAGUAGAGGUAAGCGGAAUUCCUGGUGUAGCGGUGAAAUGCGUAGAUAUCAGGAGGAACACCGGUGGCGAAGGCGGCUUACUGGGCUUUUACUGACGCUGAGGCUCGAAAGCGUGGGGAGCAAACAGGAUUAGAUACCCUGGUAGUCCACGCUGUAAACGAUGAUUACUAGGUGUGGGGGGACUGACCCCUUCCGUGCCGCAGUUAACACAAUAAGUAAUCCACCUGGGGAGUACGGCCGCAAGGUUGAAACUCAAAUGAAUUGACGGGG
rnacentral:rRNA from 1 species